GGGAGAUUCACACGCACCAAGCCUACUCUGCAUACAAGCGGCGAUGGCUUCCUGCCGCAUCUGCGACUUAUCGUCGAGGGAACAGUCCACCGACGUGACGAGCGGGUGACGAGCGGCAAGAGGAGGGAGCCGUGGGGCGGCGGCGGGGUGUCUCUCAAACAACACUGAGCCCAUUGUGACCAAUCAAAGUCGGGAGACGGGACCAAAAAGCCGCACUUCCUGGUAGCGGUGGGCUCCCACAAGCGGCCCUCGAGGAAUUCACGUCAUCGCGUGAAAGACGGACAUCUCUUUCCCCACAGCUCCUUGCAUGUAGACAAACAACGGACUGAAAUCACAUGUCCAGAACAACUCCCUGUUCGCCAGUCAAUGUCCUGUCCAGCACAUAUGGAGACAAAUCAAGCUGUCUCCAGUUGAUGUCAGGGCACGGUUCGACAACAACGACUUGCGAUGGGGGUUUUCUGGACACCAACUCAGAACUGGAAAACCACAUGUGACGUCAAGGCCCCCUCCCCCGAAAAUUGUUAGCCCGCUGCUAAGGCUAGCCCCAGCUAAGCAACUAGCACCUACGCUAAGUGACAACAUUCAAAAAAAAAAAAAAAAACGUGCACAUGCACGCGCGCGCCCCGGCCGCUGAUCGUGGCCGGCGAGCAGAGUGAGCUCCGCAUGGGCGCGUGCGCGCCGUGCUCCGACCGACCGACCCGCUCCUCGCACGCGCGCCCACACGCGUACACAAAGACGCCCGAGGUUCGAAGCCCGUCCUACCUGCAACGAACCGAGCAGCUGGGCCGCGAGCGCGAGCCAAGAUGCCAGCAUCGUCUCGCGCGCGUGCGUGCGUGAUGAGACAAUGGCGCCUCCGCGUGUGCGCGUUUGUGGGUGUGUCUCUGGCUGCGCUCAGUCUCGCCGCAUCUUCGUCUUCAUCUCCGUCAAGUUGACUCAGACGCGCGGGCAGGCCGGCAGCCGAGUUCGGACCGGACCGGAAGCGGAGCUCCGGUACGUUGUGAGCGACGAGCAGAACCCGAAGUGCGAGACGAUGCUGCGACUGUCGCCAAGCCCCGCCCAGGAGCGACGCCGACCCCCCCCCCCUCCCCCUCGCAUCCCCCGCCUCCAUCUUCAUCUUCGUCAUCUUUGUGUCAGCGCCGAUGCGUCUCCGUCCGUCGGCUAUUUGACUAUUUGCGUCAGUUUCCAAUUGAUAAAAUGCAUUUCAAAGAGAUG